CUCUAGCCUCCACCGGAAAUCGCCGCCACCGCCAGACGCCGCACCGCCGCCGCCGGCCGCCGUCGCCGGAACCCCUCUCCUCACCAAAAUUUCCAGAUUUUCUCCUCUUCCUUCCCUCUUUCCAUUUCUCCAACCAAAAUCAUGAAAUUUAGCCAUUUAAUCCCCCAAAAACCCUAGAACCCGAAGCUAAAUUUGGGGCUUUUGUGAUUUCUUCUUUCCAAGCUCAAAUCAAGGCUAUGGGUUUGGCAAGAAUUUUUGGUAAGGAUCUAUCCAUGCAACCUUGUUUUCGAGUUUUUGGUUGAGAUGUUGAUUAUGGACGGAUUUGUAGGUGAAGAAGGCCAAGGAGAAGGAGUAUGACAUGAUUUUUGAAGAAGAAAGGGUUAUAACGAGGUCAUUCCGGACGAUUUGGAUUAGAAGUGGGUCGUUGGCCAAGUUCGUGUGUUGCUGUUCCUGUUGCUUGAAGUUCUUCCCUUGUGGUAUUCCAUCGUUUUACUCGUUUUUCAUUCCAUGUUGAACUCUGUGAGGUCCGCCUACCUAGGAGCGCGCCUCACCCCUUUGUUUAUUUGUUGUUGUUGAACUUUCCUUUCAUUUCGGUUAUGAUGUAAGCCCUAAGGCGCCACAAUGCACUUGCCACCUUAUUUUGUUGCU